rnacentral:rRNA from 1 species
GACGAACGCUGGCGGUGUGCUUAACACAUGCAAGUCGAACGGUAAGGCCCUUUCGGGGGUACACGAGUGGCGAACGGGUGAGUAACACGUGAGUAACCUGCCCUCAUCUCUGGGAUAACAGUCGGAAACGGUUGCUAAUACUGGAUAUGAGCUUGCAAGGCAUCUUGUGGGUUGGAAAGAUUUUUUUGGUUGGGGAUGGACUCGCGGCCUAUCAGCUUGUUGGUGAGGUAGUGGCUCACCAAGGCUUCGACGGGUAGCCGGCCUGAGAGGGCGACCGGCCACAUUGGGACUGAGAUACGGCCCAAACUCCUACGGGAGGCAGCAGUGGGGAAUAUUGCACAAUGGACGGAAGUCUGAUGCAGCAACGCCGCGGGCGGGAUGACGGCCUUCGGGUUGGAAACCGCUUUCAAUUGUGACGAAGCUUUUUGUGACGGUAGCAGUAGAAGAAGCACCGGCUAACUACGUG